CACCGCGGUUAUACGAGAGACCCAAGUUGAUAGACAUCGGCGUAAAGCGUGGUUAAGAUCCCCUAAAACUAAAGCCGAACACCCUCAGGGCAGUUAUACGCAUCCGAAGGUACGAAGUUCCACCACGAAAGUGGCUUUAUCCCCCUGACCCCACGAAAGCUACGAAA
rnacentral:rRNA from 1 species